CCAGACUCCUACGGGAGGCAGCAGUGGGGAAUAUUGCACAAUGGGGGAGACCCUGAUGCAGCGACGCCGCGUGAAGGACGAAGUAUUUCGGUACGUAAACUUCUAUCAGCAGGGAAGAAAAUGACGGUACCUGACCAAGAAGCCCCGGCUAACUACGUGCCAGCAGCCGCGGUAAUACGUAGGGGGCAAGCGUUAUCCGGAUUUACUGGGUGUAAAGGGAGCGUAGACGGCCAUGCAAGUCUGAUGUGAAAACCCGGGGCUCAACCCCGGGACUGCAUUGGAAACUGUGCGGCUGGAGCGUCGGAGAGGCAAGUGGAAUUCCUAGUGUAGCGGUGAAAUGCGUAGAUAUUAGGAGGAACACCAGUGGCGAAGGCGGCUUGCUGGACGACGACUGACGUUGAGGCUCGAAAGCGUGGGGAGCAAACAGGAUUAGAUACCCCCGUA
rnacentral:rRNA from 1 species